GACGAACGCUGGCGGCGUGCCUAAUACAUGCAAGUUGAGCGCUGAAGGUUGGUACUUGUACCGACUGGAUGAGCAGCGAACGGGUGAGUAACGCGUGGGGAAUCUGCCUUUGAGCGGGGGACAACAUUUGGAAACGAAUGCUAAUACCGCAUAAUAACUUUAAACACAAGUUUUAAGUUUGAAAGAUGCUAUUGCAUCACUCAAAGAUGAUCCCGCGUUGUAUUAGCUAGUUGGUGAGGUAAAGGCUCACCAAGGGGAUGAUACAUAGCCGACCUGAGAGGGUGAUCGGCAAAAAUGGGAAUGAGAAACGGCCCAAAAUACUACGGGAGGCAGCAGGAGGGAAACUUCGGGAAUGGAGGAAAGGCUGAACGAGAAACGCCGGGUGAGUGAAGAAGGUGUUCGGAUCGUAAAAAUCUGUUGGUAGAGAAGAAAGAAGGUGAGAGUGGAAAGCUCAUAAAGUGACGGUAACUAACCAGAAAGGGACGGCUAACUACGUG
rnacentral:rRNA from 1 species